GUGUCCCCAGGGCAGGGUCAGUGUGUCCCCAGGGGUCAGUGUGUCCCCAGGGCUGGGUCAGUGUGUCCCCAGGGCAGGGUCAGUGUGUCCCCAGGGGUCAGUGUGUCCCCAGGGCUGGGUCAGUGUGUCCCCAGGGGUCAGUGUGUCCCCAGGGUCAGUGUGUCCCCAGGGCAGGGUCAGUGUGUCCCCAGGGCAGGGUCAGUGUGUCCCCAGGGGUCAGUGUGUCCCCAGGGCUGGGUCAGUGUGUCCCCAGGGGUGGGUCAGUGUGUCCCCAGGGUCAGUGUGUCCCCAGGGGUCAGUGUGUCCCCAGGGCAGGGUCAGUGUGUCCCCAGGGCUGGGUCAGUGUGUCCCCAGGGUCCCCUGGGACCUGGAACCUGUCCCCAGUGUUCCCUGUCCCUACAGUUCUUGUCCCCCCUGUCACCUGGGCCUCAGUGUCCCCUGUCCCCAGGGACCCUGUCCCCAGUGUCCCAUCUCUCCAGCGUCACCUGAGCCUCGGUGUCCCCUGUCCCCAAUGUCCCCUGUCCCCAGGGACCCUGUCCCCAAUAUCCCAUCUCUCCAGUGUCACCUGAGCCUUGGUGUCACCUGGACCCCACAGUUCCUGUCCCCGGUGUCCCCAAACUCCAUGUCCCCUGUCCCCAUAGUCCGGGUGCCCAGUGUCCCCAUCCCCAGUGUCCCCAUCCCCAGUGUCCCCUGUCCCCAG